GCAGUGGUGGUUCAGUGGAAGAAUGUUCAUCUUCUGUGCAGGAGACCCAGGAUCGAUUUCUGGCCAAUGCU
rnacentral:tRNA from 1 species